GAAGAGGCAAAUCAAGUGAUUCAGGUACAAUUACAAAUCCAAACUGCUCAAUCUCAGAGCAUAUUUACAUGCAACUUUGGUAGGCAUCCUUUUAAUUGACCUUUCAAUGAAGUAAUUUCACUGAUCGGUAUGAUAUUUUAUGAAAAGAUAAUAAUCCCCCAUUUGUGACGUACAGAAAUUUUAAACUAAUAUUAUUCUGAUGUAUGCGCAUAGACGUUACAUAUAUAACUUUUGCGUUAUCAUGAGGUAUGCAGUCUAGUAUGGGUUGGCUUUCUCUUACCUGUAAGAACUGUCUCAAGUUCAAAGUAAAAUAAUUUUCCUGCUAAUUACAUGACUUGAUAAAAUGUGUUGAUAAUUCUGUCUUGUAUUGUAGCAUUACAGCAGUUAGUAAUUAUACCACAUUUUUAACUGUUAGUGUCCACCAUAGUUAUUAAAGACGCGCCUC
rnacentral:misc_RNA from 1 species